UCCUAUUGAAAAGGGUUCCUUAUCUUUUAAGGCUUCAAAGGACUUAUAUGACAAAUUUCUUGGAAUAGCUCUCUCUUUCGUUGCUGAUAUUGGUCAUCAUGAUUUUAAGAUUGCUUUGUCUAUUGAUGGUAAACAGUGGAGCGACAGACCAAUAGAGAGUUCCCAUUCAUUGGAUUUGGAUCAUGUCGCGCUUCUGUAUUUCAGACCCUCCCAGCUGUGGAGAGCAAUUGAUUUUGGUCAAAUUGAUCGAAAUGAUGUAGAGUUUGGGGUUACAUUAUGUGGUGAAAGUGUGAAAAAGUGGGGAUCCCGAAUAAUAUGCAAACAUCUAAGGGACGAUUUAAAGGCUAAACUUCAAGACAAUCGGCUGAUUGAUCUAGCUUUACUCUACGAGGUUGGUCAUGAAUCAACCGAUUCAGCAGCUGAGAGUUUACUUAUGCACGAAGAUAAUUUGAGCAAAGCAAUCGACAGAGGACUCCCAAGAUUGUCAAUUGAGCAUCAAGAAACAUUGUCAAAUCUCCCUUGACGCGCGCGAAUGAAGACUAUGUGGACUUCUAAGUCGAUUGAUCAUGGCAUGUUUGCUCGCUGCUUUGGUUGCUAAAAUGAUGGGAAUUUGCCAAGGGAGCAAUUCGUAGUUUCAGCAUCAAGAACUGCUCAUCUUCCAUCAGACACCGGCGAUCUCUGACAAAUGUAGAUCGCCACCUCCAGACGGAGGCAACGAACAGAUAGAAGUUCGUCUUCCCAAAACAGAGUCCCCAGCGAACCGGCGGCGACAGAGGCCGGCAAGCUACAACUGCUGACUGGAGCCAUGGAAAUUGACGGCAUAUUUUUGGGUGAACGGUUCUGUCCUUUGAGGUUCUUGGCGUCAUGCAGCUUGCUGUAGAUCAGGCAACAAGACAUGCAGAGAUGGAUGCUCUUGAUGUUCUUCCUUAAUAGGCAGAGGACAAGAUUUUUGGCUGCAAAAGUAGCAGAAAAGUUUUAAGUAUGCUCCCUUUAUGUGACAUAAAUGAUUAGAGGACUCUUAACCACUUUUUGUUAUAAAUGAAGUAUAUCACGGCUGUGCAAAUGAUAACUUUGGAGGCUGUGGCUCGAUACCGUCGUUGCAAUCUAGUACCUCUGAGGCAUGCAUUAGGUCAGUUUCUAAACUAGCAUUUGUUGCUGAUUUUGUAUCUACUUAGCUCCACUAUGAAAUUGUGACAUAAGACAAUUGACAACUCAAGCUUACUGGUUUAUGAUUCCUUAUGUUGAUUACUGAUGGAUGCGGUUUGGUAGUGA